AUGACCAUGGCCAUUGCACAGAGUCUGCUCCUUUUGACUCUCAUUUCAGCUGCUCGCUGUCAGUCUCUCACCUCAUCAGAGCCAGUGGUCAGCAGACCAGGACAAUCAGUCACUCUGUCCUGUAGAGUUCAAGGAAUCGCUCUGGCUUGGUUGCACUGGAUUCGUCAAAAACCUGGGAAAGGCCUAGAAUGGAUUGGACGCAUUGAUGAUGGGACAGGCACAAUAUUUGCCCAAAGUCUUCAAGGCCAGUUGACCAUCACCAAAGACACUUCCCAAAAUCGUGUGAAUUUAGUGGUGAACAGCCUCAAACAGGAAGACUCUGCAGUUUAUUACUGUGCACGAUAG